rnacentral:tRNA from 1 species
CAGAUUGUAUCAUCAAAGGUAAUGAAUUUGUAUUGGGUACAAAAAUUUAUAGGUUCAAAUCCUAUCAAUCUGA